rfam:Hordeum vulgare subsp. vulgare, WGS project CAJW01000000 data, contig: morex_contig_44415
CUUAUACUCCCUCCGUCCGAAAAUACUUGUCGCUCAAACGGAUGUAUCUAGCAUUAAAUACGUUUAGAUACAUCCAUUUGAGUGACAAGUAUUUUCGGACGAAGGUAGUAUAUG